UCUGACUCAAGAUGCCAAUUAUUUCAUUUUCACUCGGAUUAUCCCGCAUACUUUAAUCAAGAACUUUCCCUGCCCAGUUUUUUUUUUCCUUCUCCCAGCACUAAGGACUGAACCCAGAGCUUUUUGAUACUAGACGCGGCCUGGCCGAUCCCCUACCUUACAUAAAAACAAAUUUUAUCCUUACUUUUCCUCUCCACAUCCCCCUAGGUCUUCCAGUUCAUCAGGACUGGGGAGAGAGCUCAGCAGGUGAAAGGAAACACGCGGGCAGUUGGACACCUCCAGCUAAGAUGCGGAAAGAAGCCAUUGUGUGGGCACCACUUGGCUUACCUCCUCCCAGGGGACCCCAGACCUCCAUCAAGGCAUGAGGAAGCACCAGGCUGCAACAGCUAGGGAACAGCUCUCAAACCAACUGACCCCGGUUCUUUAAACUGCAGUGUGGGGAUAGAGAGG
rnacentral:lncRNA from 1 species